AGUGAAAUAGGACUGAAACACAUUGCCAGCAAGUUGUCUUUUACGCACACCUUAAUCUGGGCUCCUGGAGAGAGGGUUGUGGACAAGGCCUGGAGAAAAGACAAGUGAAAGCAGCUCCUUCAUUAUAGCACAAUCACACCUACCCUAAACUUUCUAUGUUGUGUGCUUCCAGUGGUGGAAAUUGAGGUACCUACAUACGAGCUGCCAUUACCAGAGGGUGUGCACAGGAAAAAUAUGUAUACUUUCAGGAUAGUACAAAAUUUCCUGUAGACUUUCCUUUAUGAAUCUUACACAUGUCCUGAACUUCUUCAGGAAUAGUAAAGGAAACUAUACAGGAAACGUUGCACUAUCCUUUGUAAGUAGGUUGCAGGACACCUGCCAUUUUUCAGGAAAUGUGCAGAUUUUAUGGGCUGCAAUGUAGCAGCACUGUAGCAGGAAAUUUAAAUAUUUUCCCUGUGGUGGGUGAGAAGAAACUUCACCAAGACAACCUGAGCGUCCGUCAGAUUGAGGAGACGUGGAGAGAACCACUACUCGAGAGUGACCUCCAUAGAGAUCUCUGGGAGUGGAUAUAGGAUCAUCUAGCAGCCAAUUGGACGACUGUCACUCAUCUCAGGAUGGAGGAGAGUAAGAAAGAUCCACCAGAGGAACCAUUUCGCUCCCUCUACACCGCCAGGGAGUUGCUGUCAGGUAUGAGGGCUAAACUGGAUGCCUGUCCUCUCAAAGAGCUUGAGGAUUUCACUAUUCUCUAGUGUUUUGUUGGACUGGAAAUGGUGCUACCCCCCACAUAGCAUCACAUGUUGAGCAGUCACGAGGUGGACACGUACGGUAGUAACGAGCACCACUUCAGUCUGUCCCACAAGACUGCCCUCCAUGGCCGCCUGCCCAUCAUACAGUUCCUAGUGGAGAGUGGACUGCCCUCCUCCGCACUGCAGAUACCAGAUGACUCAUUCACCACACCCGCCAUGCUCGCUAUACAGCUGCUCAUGGACUUUGGCUACAGCAUGGUCCACACGGACAGGGAGAACCAGAAGCCGGUGGAUUGGGCCGAUGCUAUGGGUCAGAAUAUUCUGUGUCCGCUAUCUCAUGAUGUACGAGACUUGUUGGGCACUCUCUGGAGAACUGACACACAUGGCCGAGCAGCUCGCUAUGUAAGUGGAGGGCCUUUAAUUAGUGAUUGUGUAGUGUGUGUGUAUGGUGGUGUGUGUGCAAGUCUGUAUGAGAGUGUGUCACUGGGAGAAUUGCUACUGCUAGUGUCUACCGUAUAGCCCGUAAUUUUCAGGGGGCAAAAUAUUCGUGGUUGAGCAAUAUUCAGUCUCAAAUAGUAGCUUCAGUGAACUUUGACUCUAGCAUAUCUGCACGUGUCAGCCAAAAACAAUUAUUACCAGCAGCUAGCUACAUGUACGUAGCUACAAGUAGCAGCUUGUUAGUGCUUCUUAUUAUUCUUGUGCUAAUUAUCAACCCCCUCCCCCCAGCAGGGGUCAAGUACCUGUGCGGAAGGCGCCCCCUGAACCACCCACUACCCCUAAACGAUCCUCCAAUCGUCCCUCUGUACCCCCGGAUCCUGCUGCUACGAAGAGGUCACGAGGGUCAAAGGACAGAGGUCAUGAGGCGGCAGAUAAAGGGGAGGACCAUAAUACCAUUGACUAUCGAACAGCCACCCCCCAAGAAGUGUUAGAGUGAGUGAAUAGUAUAAAUUAAUGUGCAGGUAUGUACUACAUGUACAUGUCCCCCGUUUAAUCAAUUGGUUAGUGGACUCGUUCAGUCGCCAUAACUUGAAUUCCGUGGAUCGAUUUUCCGAAAGCUUAGAAAAAGACCUUUAAAAUAGUACCAGAUAUUUGGGAGAUGACAAUUUUAGCAAUAGCCCAGUGUUCAAAAUUGAAUUAUGGCCACAUCUAAAUAUUGGAUUGAAAUACAUCAUUUGAAAGGUCUCUUUCUAAGCUUUCAGAAAAUCAUAAAAUUUUUGAAAUUGGGUCACGGUACUAAAGUUAUGGCUGCUGAAAGAUGUUCAACUACUGUAACAUGUCCGUGCUUGAAUUAUAACUAGUGUACCUAUACACACACUAUGACUGCACCCCCCCCACACACACCACACCACACACACACACACACACACUAUGACUGCGCCCCCCCACACACACACACCACACACCACACACACACUAUGACUGCGCCCCCCUCCACACACACACCCUCCCACCACAUCUGCUGGUAUAUCCAAGCUAUAUAGUCCCAGCCCAUUCUCCACUUCAAAUCCUCACCAUAAUUUGUAUGUGAGUUUCCAUACCACCAAGAGUAGAUAAGAGCAUCUACCAUUGAUAUCACCUUAUAGCGGGGAAUUGUCGAGGGUCUAAUUUUAUCUCGCAGAUUAGCCAGAAAAUAUUGGCCCUAAAAAGUACCAUACAAGUUCUGGAAGCCAUCAUUGCUCAGGAUGUUGUUAGAAUAGCAACAUUCUAUGGUGAUUUUGUGUAAUGAUAAGGAUUUUAGGACACCCCACACACACACCCACACACACACACACACACACACACACACACACACACACACACUACUAUCUUGACUAAUGCCUUGUGCUAAUUUCUAAGAACCAAAAUUAGAGGUUAAUUGUGCUUGCCACCUAUAGAAGAACCACAUAGACCCAUCCCCAUUAUCAGAUACUACCACCACAAAACCUGGCCCAGACAAUACAGGCCUGUUCCUAGGCCUUAUAAAUUACAAGGUCAGAUUUAGCCACACACACACACACACACAGGAUGAUAUUCUGCCAACAGUGCACUUCACAAAGCACCCAGCUGCCCUCCUCAAAGAAGUUGGUCAGAGUCUGUGACAGCUGCUUCUUGGACUUGAACUGAACAUAAUUUACACACUUUGUUUUUGUAUAAUUAUACCUCAUUCAUUGUGUUGUCCUCAAGUGAUAAUUUGAUACAAUUAUUGACUGUGGUCUACAAUUUUGGACAUUAAUUAUUACUAUUUGUC